rnacentral:rRNA from 1 species
GACGAACGCUGGCGGCGUGCCUAAUACAUGCAAGUAGAACGCACAGGAUGCACCGUAGUUUACUACACCGUAUUCUGUGAGUUGCGAACGGGUGAGUAACGCGUAGGUAACCUGCCUGGUAGCGGGGGAUAACUAUUGGAAACGAUUGCUAAUACCGCAUAAGAACAUUUACUGCAUGGUAGAUGUUUAAAAGGUGCAAAUGCAUCACUACCAGAUGGACCUGCGUUGUAUUAGCUAGUUGGUGAGGUAACGGCUCACCAAGGCAACGAUACAUAGCCGACCUGAGAGGGUGAUCGGCCACACUGGGACUGAGACACGGCCCAGACUCCUACGGGAGGCAGCAGUAGGGAAUCUUCGGCAAUGGGGGGAACCCUGACCGAGCAACGCCGCGUGAGUGAAGAAGGUUUUCGGAUCGUAAAGCUCUGUUGUUAAGGAAGAACGUGUGUGAGAGUGGAAAGUUCACACAGUGACGGUUCUUAACCAGAAAGGGACGGCUAACUACGUGCCAGCAGCCGCGGUAAUACGUAGGUCCCGAGCGUUGUCCGGAUUUAUUGGGCGUAAAGCGAGCGCUGGCGGUUAGAUUGUCUGAAGUGAAAGGCAGUGGCUCAACCAUUGUAGGCUUUGGAAACUGUUUAACUUGAGUGCAGAAGGGGAGAGUGGAAUUCCCUGUGUAGCGUGAAAUGGGUGAUAUAUGGAGGAACACCGGUUUGCGAAACGCUCUUUGGUCUGUAACUGACGCUUGGCUCGAAAGCGUGGGGAGCAAAAGAUGUAGAUACCCGGGUAUGUGAGGCUAAUUCCCUUUUGGAUUGAAGCUUGUCGAUACCUUUGACUCGUGUGGUGAAACUGUUACCCUUUUUUUUCCCUUUAUGGUUGUUUUAUUAGUUUUGUGUGUUGUGUGUUGUGGGUGUGUUGUUGUUGUGGUGUGUUGUGUGCUGU